GAGCCCCGCAGUGGCUGGAUGGUCUCUGGCAAGGAGGAGGCAUGGAGCCACGGGGUAAGGAAGCAGAGGAGCUGGAGGCCAAUAACUGUGGGACUCAGGAGUGGCUUCUUGCAGAGCCUAUGGGCAGAGCCCUGCCGGCAGACAUCUCCAUUUCCACUGUUGGAGCAGAGGCCCCCGGGUGGGUCUGUGCCUGGACUGUGGCCCAUGGAAACUGAGAUGAUCCACUGGUCCCCUUAGGUUGCCAGCCGUGUGGCAUUUGACACAGCAAGAGACUGCAAGGC
rnacentral:lncRNA from 1 species